UUUCCGUAGGUGAACCUGCGGUAGGAUCAUUACUGAGUGAGGGCCCCUCGGGGUCCAACCUCCCACCCGUGUUUAACGAACCUUGUUGCUUCGGCGGGCCCGCCUCACGGCCGCCGGGGAGCAUCUGCCCCCGGGCCCGCGCCCGCCGAAGCCACCUGUGAACGCUGUCUGAAGUAUGCAGUCUGAGACAAUUAUUAAAUUAAUUAAAACUUUCAACAACGGAUCUCUUGGUUCCG
rnacentral:misc_RNA from 1 species